rnacentral:rRNA from 1 species
UACGGAGGAUGCGAGCGUUAUCCGGAUUUAUUGGGUUUAAAGGGUGCGUAGGCGGACUGUCAAGUCAGCGGUAAAAUUGAGAGGCUCAACCUCUUCCCGCCGUUGAAACUGGUGGUCUUGAGUGGAUGAGAAGUACGCGGAAUGCGUGGUGUAGCGGUGAAAUGCAUAGAUAUCACGCAGAACUCCGAUUGCGAAGGCAGCAUGCCGGCUUCCUACUGACGCUGAAGCACGAAAGCGUGGGGAUCGAACAGG